GGUGGGAAGUUACUUAUUGCACCAGUGAUAUUGGUUUUGGGACUGGUAAUAGGAGCUGUUGUUGUUCUGAUAGGUUUAUUUGUGUUCCCCAUCUAUUGUCUUUGUAAAAAGAAGAAGAAGAGGCCACAAACUCUCCCAGAAAUGCCCUGGGUCGAGUGAAGAGUCGUGCAUCUGAAUGGAGCUGAUCCUGCAAGGCUUAUGCAAAGUAACAGCAACACAGCAAUACUGUGCUGGUUAACUGUCUUGAUAUCACAAUCCUGGCAGAGAUUAGCGGCCAUCUGCCAUAUUCCUUUUGCACUGUACGCUACUAAAGACAAGCCAGAAUGCUGCUCUGAACUGGUGCCUCAGACAAAAUGAAGGUUUCUCAACUUAAAAAAAAGUUUGUUUUUUAAAACCUCCAACCCAACUGCCUAGGGUUUAGUUCAACUCUCCUUUCUUGAACAGCUUAUAUCUGCACUGUAGCUGCAUAUCUACUGAUGAGCUCAUGAAAGGAGUAUAGCUUAGCAACAUUUCCCCCCAGUUACUGACAAUAAUUCUAGAACUUUUACAGAAGCAAUUUGAGUGAAGGUGACUUCUUCUCUUCAGAGGUUCCAUGCUGGCAAUUGAUUAACAUAUUCUGUUCUGAUGAUUGGUAUGAUCAUCAGCAGUACAAUGAUUGGUACUAUCUGGUGCUGAAUGCAAUAAUUAUCUUAUACAUGAAAUUUUGCCUAAUAACAAUGAACCACAUUAUUAGCCGUUGACAGAUACCCAGAAUAGAAAUGAGAAAUGAUUACAACAGCAUGACUGUUUCAUAUUUUACUACUGUUUGAAAAGAUAGAAGAAUUAGCUUGGAUGUUUGGGAGAUAAUGUCAUCCAUUUAUAAUGUUUUGGAUUGCAUAAGCAAUUCACUCUGUUUAACUUAAUUAGAGUAAGAGACAAAAACCUGCUCUUUAUGGUGGUUCUGUGGUAUCUGGCAUGCAAGCCUUGUCAUACAUAUCCAUACCGCAUGAUGAUUCUUAGUAUGCCACAGAAGUCAAGGAUGUUUCCAAGAGCUAGGAAAUGCAGAAAACUAUACAUCUUGCAGAUAGUUUUUCAGAGUAUUCAGCAAAGUCCAUUUCAGAAAAUAUCACUUUGCUCUGAGGUAAUCCACAUAUAUUACAUUUCCACAGAACUGCAUCAGUUUAUAUCUAAAACUGUGUUUCCAGUUCUUCCUUUAAAAAAUCUAGGAAUGUCCAUAGUUCAGGAAAGGGUUCUUAAUGUAAGGCCAAUUAAAACACAGUGCCAGUUGGUCUGGUUCUUCAUAAUGGUGAGGAGAAAAUGUGGACCUUACCAAUACUGAUUUGUCUGCCAUAUCAUGAUUCUUCCCUAAAAGCUGGGAAAGAUCAUGGCUGCAGGAUGAAAUUUCUAUGCUUUUGUAUGGAUUCAGCAUAUUCACACUUCUCUUAGUUCUCUGGUGUUUCCCAAGUGACAUAAAGUGGGUAAUUGUAUACCUAAAUUGGCCCAUAUAUACAUAGAUACUGGAUAUAAGUGAUUGAGUUAAAAGAGUACCAGUAAAAUUCUAAGCUUCCUAAAAACAAUUUAUUACAGCAAAAUUGAAUGAUAAAUUUGCUUGACUUCAAGAGCAGUUAGCUGAAUUACAUUUUGUUCUUGUGGGUUUUUUUUAAAUUAAUAAGCUUUAUUGGAUUUAAAAUAAAAAAGAUAAUCAGCUAACAGGUUUAGGAAUAAGAACAAUCAAGGAUUUUUUUUUUAAGUUGCUGUUCUGUUAUGUCCAGGGUAACAGAGAAGAGAAUGCUGGGGAAAGCAUGGUAUGCAGUUCUUAGGAGUUGAAUUUUAAAAGUGUCCUUUAAGUCACUGAAAUAGUUCUACAGUGAGAGGAAGGAUCUUUCACUCAUUGAAGGACCUGCAGCUCAAGAGCAAUCUCUCUCUCAUGUUGUUUUGGAAAGUCCCCCAAUUGUUCUCAGUAGUGGCUUGGCUGCGAGAGGCCAAAUCACCAUUUCCAUUUCCAUUAGUCAAUGUUGGGAGUUCUAUUUGUACUCUCUGGACAGCACAAUUCAGCCUGAGGUAUUAAUACUUCUUUUCAAUGACUACUGGAGAUUUUUAAAAAGCAAGACAGUAUUACUGAAAAUAGUUAUGGGAUAUUUUGCAAGUCUUUUGCUCUUGAGUUCAGUCUUUAUUAACCCUAAUUUGCAUGCAUUGUGCAGGAAGGGAACACGCAGUGCACAUUUUAGCAAUACUUCUUAAGUGGAACAGUUUGUUGAACAGUAUAAAAUGAAUUGUAAUAUAUAAUCUGGAUUCACUGUAGAGUCUCAGUUGAAUUGAACAGAUGUCUCUUAUUUGGUAAAUACGUUCAUUUUAAAAUCUGUUUUUGCAUCAGCCUUUUCUUUUAACCCCAAAGAAUACCCAAAUUUACUGCCUUUUCACCCAUUAAAAUUAAACCGAUUUUGGUGAGUCCCGAAACAGACAUUACAAUUUAACAUAAUUUUAUUUAUUAAAAAUAAGUUUAGAUCCAUUGAAAUUAGUGGCCUUUAAAUUAGUUAAGACUAACUUUAGACCAAUUGAUUUCAGUGGGUCUUCUAUUAACACAAAUCUGCAUUCAACUGUAUAUCAUUAAUAUGGGUUCUAGCUUGUUUAAAAAGUUUUUCCUUUAUUGUGUUCCUCAAAGUUGAAUGUUGCCUUAAGAAACGUUUUUUUAAAAGAUUGUAUACUUAAUCCCAAAUAAUUGUUUUCUCAGGCCAAACGUAUCUAUUGUCUUUGAUUUACUCAGGGAUUUUAGUCCUUAUAAUGUCAGAUGCUUUUGUGAAAACAUUUUUCUAUUACUAACAUUCAAACAUCCAAGUUAUGAUUGGAUUUUAUGUUUAUAGUGCAGGAUGCAUUAAAGCAAUGUCAAGACUUCCAUUUGAUUUAAGAAUGAUCUUUUCCUGCAAUGCUUCCAUGUUUUCCCUCUUCCUUUAUCCUUGUGAAAUAUAUUGCCUAUAUAAUAAUUCUUGGAUUUUGUCCAGAGACCUUCAUAUGUAACAGCAAAUUGUGUGCAAAAACUAAUGCAUAUCAGCUGGUCCAUUUGCCUGGAAUGCAGUGUCAGUUCUCGAUAAUGAUAAUAACCAAUGAUUUUGCAUACAGAUUUUGCAUGCUCGUUCCAGCAGCAUUUGAACUAUCAGGGUGGACCCUUAUGAGAUGCUGCAGUUUUUUUCAUUCAUGUUUGCACAUUUGGGACCACAUAAGACAAUCUUAUUCAUGGAUGCCUAACUUUUAUAAGUGGAUUACUCUUGCUGGAUAAAUGCAUGUCUGUUUCGCUUUUUUUUUUU